rnacentral:rRNA from 1 species
AACACGUAGGUAACCUGCCCCGGAGCGGGGGAUAACAUUUGGAAACAGAUGCUAAUACCGCAUAACAACAAAAGCCACAUGGGCUUUUGUUUGAAAGAUGGCUUUGGCUAUCACUCUGGGAUGGACCUGCGGUGCAUUAGCUAGUUGGUAAGGUAACGGCUUACCAAGGCGAUGAUGCAUAGCCGAGUUGAGAGACUGAUCGGCCACAAUGGAACUGAGACACGGUCCAUACUCCUACGGGAGGCAGCAGUAGGGAAUCUUCCACAAUGGGCGCAAGCCUGAUGGAGCAACACCGCGUGAGUGAAGAAGGGUUUCGGCUCGUAAAGCUCUGUUGUUGGAGAAGAACGUGCGUGAGAGUAACUGUUCACGCAGUGACGGUAUCCAACCAGAAAGUCACGGCUAACUACGUGCCAGCAGCCGCGGUAAUACGUAGGUGGCAAGCGUUAUCCGGAUUUAUUGGGCGUAAAGCGAGCGCAGGCGGUUGCUUAGGUCUGAUGUGAAAGCCUUCGGCUUAACCGAAGAAGUGCAUCGGAAACCGGGCAACUUGAGUGCAGAAGAGGACAGUGGAACUCCAUGUGUAGCGGUGGAAUGCGUAGAUAUAUGGAAGAACACCAGUGGCGAAGGCGGCUGUCUGGUC